rnacentral:rRNA from 1 species
CCUACGGGAGACAGCAGUGAGGAAUAUUGGUCAAUGGUCGGGAGACUGAACCAGCCAAGCCGCGUGAGGGAUGAAGGUACAGAGUAUCGUAAACCUCUUUUGUCAGGGAACAAAGGCGGGGACGUGUCCCCGGAUGAGUGUACCUGAAGAAAAAGCAUCGGCUAACUCCGUGCCAGCAGCCGCGGUAAUACGGAGGAUGCGAGCGUUACCCGGAUUUAUUGGGGUAAAAGGGUGCGCAGGCGGUCUGUUAAGUCAGCGGUAAAAGCCCGGGGCUCAACCCCGGCCCGCCGUUGAAACUGGCAGUCUCGAGUUGGAGAGAAGUAUGCGGAAUGCGCGGUGUAGCGGUGAAAUGCAUAGAUAUCGCGCAGAACUCCGAUUGCGAAGGCAGCAUGCCGGCUCCACACUGACGCUGAGGCACGAAAGCGUGGGUAUCGAACAGGAUUAGAUACCCCAGUAGUC